UUCCAAUGGAUAGAAAGUAGCUGAACAGUCAACUAUCCGUUGGCAGUGUUGGACGUCCGAUAGCCCUGUUUUGUGCGUCCGACAGCAGGCAGAGAGUUUAAGAGAUUUUCUUCAAUUCUUUCGGACGUCCGGUAGGCUGAUUUUCUGCGUCCGAAGGUAUGAUGUAAAACUGGAAAUUUUUCUUCAAUUCCUUAGGACGCCCGGUAGGCUGGUUUUCUGCG
rnacentral:lncRNA from 1 species